UAUUGCGCAAUGGACGAAAGUCUGACGCAGCGACGCCGCGUGGGGGAUGAAGGUCUUCGGAUUGUAAACCCCUUUCGGGAGGGAAGAUGGAGUGGGUAACCACUUGGACGGUACCUCCAGAAGCAGCCACGGCUAACUUCGUGCCGGCAGCCGCGGUAAUACGAAGGUGGCAAGCGUUGUUCGGAUUCACUGGGCGUACAGGGAGCGUAGGCGGUUGGGUAAGCCCUCCGUGAAAUCUCCGGGCCUAACCCGGAAAGUGCAGAGGGGACUGCUCAGCUAGAGGAUGGGAGAGGAGCGCGGAAUUCCCGGUGUAGCGGUGAAAUGCGUAGAGAUCGGGAGGAAGGCCGGUGGCGAAGGCGGCGCUCUGGAACAUUCUGACGCUGAGGCCGAA
rnacentral:rRNA from 1 species